UCAGUGACGUAGACGGCCAUAUCAGCUGCGUGCAGCCAUAUUUAAAUACAUCAAGGCAAUUAGCCCAUCAAAAUAUGCAAAUCCCCCUCCUUACUGCAUAGCUAGUCCAGCCCGGCCGCAGUCGGUGGAUAAUUUGCACACCCACAGCCUGUGUGUGUGUGUGUUUUUAAUGAUUGCCGUUUUGAAAAGAACGAUCACUGCAUUUGUUUGCUCCAACAAGAAGCUAUACAAGGAGAGCGGGACGGAAAGAGGAAGACACGAAGAAGAAGAGGAAAAGUGGAACCGGGAGGCUGCUGCAACUGCGUGGAAAAAACGCCCAUGCGUAAUGAGACCAUCCGCUCCGACUAUUCUAUCUAAAUUCCUCGAUGCCGUUGGCUCUGGAAUGGCGAAAUCUUGAAAACAAAAGUUCACCCAGAAGAUGUCAUAUUGCAGCCUUUAGGGAAUUGAGAGAAAAGGAGAACUGAACUCUUAAAUGUGUCUUGUUUGCUGUUGUUUCCUUCUUGUUUAUUUGUUUUUUUCUUGAUAGACGUCUUUGUAACGUCAUCAUUUCAAUGCUAAGCAGGUCUCUUGAUUAGGCGUAUUGUAUUGUAAACUUAUAAUUAUGCCAUUCAGUGACGUUAAAAUUGGAAAUUUUCAUAAGUGCCCAAGUCAGCUAGCCUCAUUGUUCUUUUUUUUUUUGGGUUUAUUUAGGUGUUAUUAAUUUGAAAAACAAACCAUUGAACAAAUGUUGAAAUGAAUAUAUUUUUCUUUGGAUAAUUGGUGUUCUUUUAUUGUUAUUUAAUCUAUUUUCAUUGAGGAACCAGUGAGCCAGUCAUUCUUAGAGCAGGCCUACAGACUUCUCUAUGUAUUCGUUACGUUUAACUGCUGCAGAACACAGUUGUAUUUUCUCUGAUUUGGAAGAAACAUUUUGACUGUGAAUUACACAUCAAUGACAAAAUGUAUCAACACUAUAAUUCUAAGUGAGAAAAAUGUAAAAGUAGAUGUAUUCAGAUGGAAGGUUUCCAUUAAAGUGUUAUAAGUGUAAAUAAAAAAGUGCACUCACUAUUUCAGUUGUGAGUGUUAAGCAGAAAAUUCCAAAACUUUUCAUGUAUAUGUGUUUUCCUGAAUGGAACAAGUCACUGUUUUGAGAAGUAUAGAAACAAGUCCAACACAAUAAAAUCACACCGACUCACAUCAGGAUAACUAAGAAAGCCAGUAACUUUACUGAAAUCUCCGCAAAAUACAAACAGCCUUUCCCUCCAGCAGAGGAGACUUGGACUCCAUCCCCACACAUUUUGUACUACAUACAGCUGAAACAAGUCCCUUGAGUUACAAAGAUGUGAUUUAAUUUAAAGCCAUCUUAGUCUCAAGUGGCGACAAAGGCCAGCUUAUGCCGCUGAAAGCCGCUCUUGAAAAAAACAAGCAUUACUUCCAAAUUUUCUCCCUUUCUUUUCAGGUUUAUACAAGCUACAUUGAUACUAAAGACUGACUUUGAAGUAUUUUUUUUUUUUACCAUAUUACACCUUAAAAAAUCUUUUUUUUCAGAUUUUUAAGCACAACUUAAAUAAACCACAAACACGGUGGAGAAACAAAGAGUCCCACGUAAAUGCCAGGACAUUUAGCAAUUGUAUGUUUUUACACAUGGCUUUACAGGUGUAUUGUCUCCCCUUUUGCACUGCAGGUUACUUUAUCAAAAAUCAGCUGGGGUACUGCUUGGGUCAAUUUUGAGGUACCAACAUUUACACCAGACGUGUUUAAAAACAAGGAAACACUAUAUAUUUUCUCCAUGUCUUUGGUUAAAAUUAUUUAAACUAUAGCUGUAAGUAGUGACAGGCCGGGAUGAAUUUCUUGAUUCAAUGCAAAAACCCAAUUUUUUGCUAAUAUGGAACCUUUUGCAAUGCAAAGCACAGGGAGAGAAAAAAAAAGACGAAACAGAGACACUUUUAAUUCAGAUUGAAACACUGAAGCCACACCCGACUAACUAUGAAAUGUGAAAAAACAAUUGUACAUUUGAGCAAAUUCUUUUAUUAUCUUGUUUCAAUGCUUGCAAAAAAACCAUAAAUGGAUGUGAAAAUAAAAGUUGAUUUUACAACACAGAAAUGCCACUGGCUUUGGUUUCUCCACACUUUAUGCUGCCUGAAACAUCAUAUUUAUUUAUUUUCCCAACUGUAUUUUUUUCUUUGUUUUUUUGUACUGAAGUUUUAAAAAAUAAAAGAAAGAACACCAUUA